rnacentral:lncRNA from 1 species
GACACUUUUAAUAUAUCUAAAAAUGAUACUCUCUCCGUCCCAUAAGAGUGUAUCACAUUUUUCAUUUUCGUCCGUCCCAUAAGAGUGUAUCACUUCUAUUUUGGGACAUGGCCCCCACUUUCUCUGCUGAAAUAGAAGUUUUAUUAAGAGAAAAAAGAGAGCACCGACUCAACAGGGUCGGAACACAAAAAAAAACCCGACAAACAAAAACCGUGUAAGAACUCCCCACAAAGCACCGCGGGAAGACGAAACAAAGGAAACGAAAGCUAAGAAGAAAAAUUAAAAAACAUUCUCGUCCCCAACAUCAUCAUCAUCC